AAAUUGAAGAGUUUGAUCAUGGCUCAGAUUGAACGCUGGCGGCAGGCCUAACACAUGCAAGUCGAACGGUAACAGGAAGAAGCUUGCUUCUUUGCUGACGAGUGGCGGACGGGUGAGUAAUGUCUGGGAAACUGCCUGAUGGAGGGGGAUAACUACUGGAAACGGUAGCUAAUACCGCAUAACGUCGCAAGACCAAAGAGGGGGACCUUCGGGCCUCUUGCCAUCGGAUGUGCCCAGAUGGGAUUAGCUUGUUGGUGGGGUAACGGCUCACCAAGGCGACGAUCCCUAGCUGGUCUGAGAGGAUGACCAGCCACACUGGAACUGAGACACGGUCCAGACUCCUACGGGAGGCAGCAGUGGGGAAUAUUGCACAAUGGGCGCAAGCCUGAUGCAGCCAUGCCGCGUGUAUGAAGAAGGCCUUCGGGUUGUAAAGUACUUUCAGCGGGGAGGAAGGGAGUAAAGUUAAUACCUUUGCUCAUUGACGUUACCCGCAGAAGAAGCA
rnacentral:rRNA from 1 species